AGAGUUUGAUUAUGGCUCAGGAUGAACGCUGGCGGCGUGCUUAACACAUGCAAGUCGAACGGGGUUAUCAUUUUUGAAGCGAUUAGCUUGCUAAGAGUGGAAAAGUUGAUAACUUAGUGGCGGACGGGUGAGUAACGCGUGGGUAACCUGCCUUACACAGGGGGAUAACACUUAGAAAUAGGUGCUAAUACCGCAUAAGCGCACAGUCCCGCAUGGGACAGAGUGAAAAACAUUAGUGGUGUAAGAUGGACCCGCGUCUGAUUAGCUGGUUGGCGGGGUAACGGCCCACCAAGGCGACGAUCAGUAGCCGGCCUGAGAGGGUGGACGGCCACAUUGGGACUGAGACACGGCCCAAACUCCUACGGGAGGCAGCAGUGGGGGAUAUUGGACAAUGGGGGAAACCCUGAUCCAGCGACGCCGCGUGAGUGAAGAAGUAUUUCGGUAUGUAAAGCUCUAUCAGCAGGGAAGAAAGAAAUGACGGUACCUGAGUAAGAAGCCCCGGCUAACUACGUGCCAGCAGCCGCGGUAAUACGUAGGGGGCAAGCGUUAUCCGGAAUUACUGGGUGUAAAGGGAG
rnacentral:rRNA from 1 species